rnacentral:rRNA from 1 species
UACGUAGGGUGCGAGCGUUAAUCGGAAUUACUGGGCGUAAAGUGUGCGCAGGCGGCCGCGCAAGUCGAGUGUGAAAUCCCCGAGCUUAACUUGGGAAUUGCGCUCGAAACUACGUGGCUGGAGUGUGGCAGAGGAAGGUGGAAUUCCACGUGUAGCGGUGAAAUGCGUAGAGAUGUGGAGGAACACCGAUGGCGAAGGCAGCCUUCUGGGCCAACACUGACGCUCAUGCACGAAAGCGUGGGGAGCAAGCAGG